AGGGUGCAAGCGUUGCUCGGAAUCAUUGGGCGUAAAGGGCAAGUAGGUGGUCUCAUUUGUCGAGGGUGAAAUCCUUGAGCUUAACUCAAGAAGUGCCCUAGAAACGGUGGGACUAGAGUUCUGGAGAGGGUCGUGGAAUUCCCGGUGUAGCGGUGAAAUGCGUAGAGAUCGGGAGGAACACCAGAGGCGAAGGCGGCGACCUGGACAGAUACUGACACUCAACUGCGAAAGCGUGGGGAGCAAACAGG
rnacentral:rRNA from 1 species